CCGUGGUCUUUUAUUUCGUUGGUUUCCAGAGGCCGCGGUAAUGACCGAUAGGAACAGUUGGGGGCAUUCGUAUUUCCCAGCUAGAGGUGAAAUUCUUGGAUUUGGGAAAGACGAACUUAUGCGAAAGCAUUUGCCAAGGAUGUUUUCAUUGAUCAGUGAGCUAAAGUUAAGGGAUCGAAAACGAUUAGAUACCGUUGUAGUCUUAACCAUAAACGAUGCCGACUAGGGAUCGGGCAAUGUUGUUUACUGACUUGUCCGGCACCUUCCGAGAAAUCAAAGUGUUUGGGUUCCGGGGGGAGUAUGGUCGCAAGGCUGAAACUUAAAGGAAUUGACGGAAGGGCACCACCAGGAGUGGAGCCUGCGGCUUAAUUUGAUUCAACACGGGAAACU
rnacentral:rRNA from 1 species